GGCAAACGAGGUAGUAACACGUAGGUAGACCCCCCAGAGUCGGGCAUAGCCAGCCGAAAAGUUGGGUAAUUCCCGAUAGUCCCGAAAGGGUAAAGGUUUUUCGCUCUGGGAGUUGCCUGCGUAGUAUCAGCUAGUUGGUAGGGUAAUGGCCUACCAAGGCUACGACGCUUAGGGGAGCUGAGAGGCUGACCCCCACCGAUGGAACUGCGACACGGUCCAUACUCCUACGGGAGGCUGCAGACGAGAAUAUUCCGCAAUGGGCGAAAGCCUGACGGAGCGACGCCGCGUGAUUGAUGAAGUGCUUCGGUACGUAAAGAUCUUUUAUCGGGGACGAAGUUUAUUGACGGUACCCGAUGAAUAAGGGGCUCCUAACUCUGUG
rnacentral:rRNA from 1 species